AUUGAACGCUGGCGGCAGGCCUAACACAUGCAAGUCGAGCGGACGAAGGGAGCUCGCGCCUGGCUUCCGUGGGGGACGGGCGAGUAAUGCAUAGGAAUAUGCCUGGCAGUGGGGGAUAACGUCCGGACACGGGAGCUAAUCUCGCAUACGUCAUGAGGGAGAAAGGGGGGGAUCUUCGGUCCACAACCUAUCUGAUGACACUAGGUCGUAUUAGCUAGUUGGUGGGGUAAAGGCCUACCAAGGCGACGAUCCGUAACUGAUCUGAGAGGCUGAUCGGUCACACUGGAACUGAGACACGGUCCAGACUCCUACGGGAGGCAGCAGUAGGGAAUAUUGCGCAAUGGGCGAAAGCCUGAUGGAGCAACGCCGCGUGAGUGAAGAAGGUCUUCGGAUUGUAAAACUCUGUUAUUAGGGAAGAAGAACAGUGAGUGUAAAUCUGGCUGUCUUGACGGUACCAACUGAAAAAGCACCGGCUAACUACGUG
rnacentral:rRNA from 1 species